UACGUAGGGACCAAGCGUUGUUCGGAUUUACUGGGCGUAAAGGGCGCGUAGGCGGCAUGACAAGUCACUUGUGAAAUCUCUGGGCUUAACCCAGAACGGCCAAGUGAUACUGUCGCGCUAGAGUGCAGAAGGGGCAAUCGGAAUUCUCGGUGUAGCGGUGAAAUGCGUAGAUAUCGAGAGGAACACCAGAGGUGAAGACGGGUUGCUGGGCUGACACUGACGCUGAGGCGCGAAAGCCAGGGGAGCAAGCGUG
rnacentral:rRNA from 1 species